rnacentral:rRNA from 1 species
GAUGAACGCUGGCGGCGUGCCUAAUACAUGCAAGUCGAGCGAACAGACGAGGAGCUUGCUCCUCUGACGUUAGCGGCGGACGGGUGAGUAACACGUGGAUAACCUACCUAUAAGACUGGGAUAACUUCGGGAAACCGGAGCUAAUACCGGAUAAUAUAUUGAACCGCAUGGUUCAAUAGUGAAAGACGGUUUUGCUGUCACUUAUAGAUGGAUCCGCGCCGCAUUAGCUAGUUGGUAAGGUAACGGCUUACCAAGGCGACGAUGCGUAGCCGACCUGAGAGGGUGAUCGGCCACACUGGAACUGAGACACGGUCCAGACUCCUACGGGAGGCAGCAGUAGGGAAUCUUCCGCAAUGGGCGAAAGCCUGACGGAGCAACGCCGCGUGAGUGAUGAAGGUCUUCGGAUCGUAAAACUCUGUUAUUAGGGAAGGACAAAUGUGUAAGUAACUAUGCACGUCCUGACGGUACCUAAUCAGAAAGCCACGGCUAACUACGUG